rnacentral:rRNA from 1 species
UACGUAGGGUGCGAGCGUUAAUCGGAAUUACUGGGCGUAAAGCGUGCGCAGGCGGUUCGUUGUGUCGGCGGUGAAAGCCCCGGGCUUUACCUGGGAAUGGCCGUUGAAACUGGCGAACUGGAGUGUGGCAGAGGGGGGUGGAAUUCCGCGUGUAGCAGUGAAAUGCGUAGAGAUGCGGAGGAACACCGAUGGCGAAGGCAGCCCCCUGGGCUGACACUGACGCUCAGGCACGAAAGCGUGGGGAGCAAACAGG